rnacentral:rRNA from 1 species
UACAGAGGGUGCAAGCGUUAAUCGGAAUUACUGGGCGUAAAGCGUGCGUAGACGGUAGCGUAAGUCGGGUGUGAAAGCCCCGGGCUCAACCUGGGAAUUGCAUUCGAGACUGCUCUGCUAGGGUGCGGAAGAGGGAAGCGGAAUUUCCGGUGUAGCGGUGAAAUGCGUAGAUAUCGGAAGGAACAUCAGUGGCGAAAGCGGCUUCCUGGACCAGUACCGACGUUCAGGCACGAAAGCGUGGGGAGCAAACAGG